UGACGGUAUCUGAGGAAUAAGCAUCGGCUAACUCCGUGCCAGCAGCCGCGGUAAUACGGAGGAUGCAAGCGUUAUCCGGACUGACUGGGUGUAAAGCAUCUGUAGGCGGUUUUGGAAGUCUACGGUUAAAUCCCAGAGCUUAACUUUGGUUCAGCCGUAGAGUACUUCAAAGCUUGAGUAUGGUAGGGGUAGAGGGAACUUCUCGUGGAGCGGUGAAAUGCACAGAGAUGAGAAGGAACACCAGUGGCGAAAGCGCUCUACUGGGCCAUGACUGACGCUGAGAGAUGACAGCUGAGGGAGCGAAUAGGAUUAGAUACCCUGGUAGUCCACGCCCUAAACGAUGUACACUAGUUGUUGCUAUACUAGAUAUGGCAGUAAUGCAGUUAACACUUUAAGUGUACCGCCUGGGGAGUACGGUCGCAAGAUUAAAACUCAAAGGAAUAGACGGGGACCCGCACAAGCGGUGGAGCAUGUGGUUUAAUUCGACGAUACGCGAAAAACCUUACCUGGCCUUGACAUAGUAGGAACUUUCUAGAGAUAGAUUGGUGCUAGCUUGCUAGAACCUAUAUACAGGUGCUGCAUGGCUGUCGUCAGC
rnacentral:rRNA from 1 species